AUUGAACGCUGGCGGCAGGCUUAACACAUGCAAGUCGAGCGGGGUGAUGGUGCUUGCACUAUCACUUAGCGGCGGACGGGUGAGUAAUGCUUAGGAAUCUGCCUAUUAGUGGGGGACACCAUCUCGAAAGGGAUGCUAAUACCGCAUACGUCCUACGGGAGAAAGCAGGGGAUCACUUGUGACCUUGCGCUAAUAGAUGAGCCUAAGUCGGAUUAGCUAGUUGGUGGGGUAGAGGCCUACCAAGGCGACGAUCUGUAGCGGGUCUGAGAGGAUCGUCCGCAACAUUGGGACGUAGACACGGCCCAGGCUCCUACGGGAGGCAGAAGUGGGGAAUAUUGGACAAUGGGGGGAACCCUGUUCCAGCCAUGCCGCGUGUGUGAAGAAGGCCUUAUGGUUGUAAAGCACUUUAAGCGAGGAGGAGGCUCUUUUGGUUAAUACCCAAGAUGAGUGGACGUUACUCGCAGAAUAAGCACCGGCUAACUCUGUGCCAGCAGCCGCCGUAA
rnacentral:rRNA from 1 species